rnacentral:misc_RNA from 1 species
AAAAAUCCGUACACUCCUGUCCGUCCUGUUAUGUCCUGUCCUGUCCUGAGCCAAUAAUAACCAAAUCCGCAAACAUCAAAAUUCUCGAUCCCCAGCUUCAGUAUCUCAUAAAAUUCCCGCUCUACUCGUGCGAUCUCCCAUUUGGCUUCUCCUUCUUCCUCUCCUCCCUCCCACCGACACCAAUGAAACCCAAAACCAGUAAAGGAAAAUGGAGGUUCAGCCCUAAGCUAGGGUUGACUGUUGUCUUUCUCUCUUCCUCCUUCUUCCUCGCCGGUCUUUUUGCUUCCAAUCUCAUCUCUCAGGUUUUAAAUCACUUUUUUUUUUGGAAUUAAUUUUUGAAUUUUUUGUGCUUGAUUUCUGGUUUAUAUUCUUUUCCAUGGCAGGAUUUAUCUGGAGCUAGGCAGAUACCAAGGCAGCUCCAAUCGGUGAAAGAGGAGAUUAUCGACUAUGAUUUAUUGCCUCCAGGAAAGACUGGAGACGAUUCUAUUACUGUGAUCCCUUUUCAGGUUCCUCUUCCUUUUUUUUUUCAGAGAAAUUCUGUUACUUUUUUUUAUAUAUAAUUGUGUAGCAGAAAUCGUGUUGAGAAUCUUGUGUUCUUAUUACUUUGAAGGUUUUGAGCUGGAAACCGCGUGCUUUGUAUUUUCCUAAUUUUGCUACUGCAGAGCAAUGUCAAAGCGUAAUUAAUAUGGCAAAGCCAACCCUUAAGCCCUCCACUUUAGCUUUACGGAAGGGAGAAACAGAAGAGAACACAAAAGGAAUCAGAACCAGGUUUUUAUUUUAAACACAAAAACAGUAAAUAGCAUUUGAAUUAGGAAUUGAAUAGAUUGAUGGAGUCUUUUAAAGACUUGAUCUUCCUGCAUAUCCUUAUAAUGCUAUUUACUUAUCCCUGUUUUAGCCAUGUUCGUGUUGAAUGUACCCAAAAAGGAUUAAAAUUAUAUUGCAAUGUUGUUCGUGGAUCAAUAUCUUUGCAUGCUAAUGAUUCUCAGAAAGAUUAAUUUUUGUUGUUACAUUUUAUAUUGGUAGCUGAUUACUUAUCUUUCCUUUUUGAAACAGCUCUGGCAUGUUUAUUAGUGCUUCUGAAGACAAAACUGGGGUGUUGGAUGCUAUUGAGGAAAAAAUUGCUAGAGCCACAAUGCUUCCCAGGGCCAAUGGAGAGGUAUAGUUCACAGUAAAAUUUCUCGUAGUGAAAAUCUCCCUUUUUCUUCACCCUGAUAUUUGCAUACAUUUUCUUUCAAUACACGUUCACAUUGUUAUUCUUCCCAUCUCCUGAUGGUAGAAUUGGAUAUUACCAUUUGGAAAUAACACAUCAGGUGCCUCUCUAAGAGCCCUGAAAGAAGCCUGUCAUUUGUGGUCCAAACAAGAGAAAUUGACAAUUUCUAAAUAGCUAAGUCUUCUCCUGAAGUAUAGUCUACUUGAAUUCUCCAAUUUAUCUGUGUGUAUGUAUGUGUGUAGUUUAUAUGUACAAUUUGCUUAUCCAUGCAGGGUAGUUGAUUUUGACUUUUCUUUAAACUCCUGAUAUAUUUUGUCAAAUUUGUCUCUUGCCUUUUUUUCCUGAUCCUUUUCUGGGCUUUGUCUAUAACAAAAUUAAAGUUGUCAGCAAUGCAUAAGGAGUGAGAUAUGGAAAAGGUAGGGGUGAGAGAAGAGAUACAUUAUCCCACGUCAACUUUUAUAAUUUAUAGUUUACCAUUGCAGUAAAGCAGUUGUUUUGCAACCUCAAUUUAACACAUAUUCUAUGUUUUAAUCUUUAUGUUCAUGAUUUCUGCUGUUGUUGCUUUCCCCAGGCAUUCAUUGUUCAAAAAAGAAUAAAUCCUCUUCUUAUUUCUAUUCAUGUUAAAGAGUUAUAACAUGCAAUUAUCCACCCUUUUAAGCUUCCAAACAAUUUCAUGUCUCAAAUAAUUAUUUUGUUAAAUUAUUUGUUUUUCUUUUGCGUUGAAUUAGUGAACCUUUUAUUUCAGGGCAAUUUUAAAAUUGUCUGGGGAUUGCACCCUGUUUCAGGCAUUCAAUGUCUUGCGCUAUGAGAUUGGGCAAAAGUAUAAUUCUCAUUAUGAUGCAUUCAAUCCUACAGAGUAUGGCCCGCAGAGAAGCCAACGGGUAAAUCUCAUGGAGAAAAAUAUAUAUGUUCAUUUCUUACUUUAUUCAACAAAUAAUGUGUACUUUUGUAUAAUACAUGCGUGUGAAUAACGUCCGCACGCAAUCUCAUUACUUCACUUUCCUUUAUUUCUCAAUAACUUGGUUUGAUAUAGAGAUGAUAAAUCUCUAGUCUUUAAAUCAGUUGGAAAUAAUUACAUCUUAUUGUUGUCAAACCAGGUCAAUUAGCUGUUAAAUUGUUUCACUUCAUCCUCAAGAAACAUAUAUCAUAAAACAUGAAACCCUUUUAUUUGCGUGGAAUUGUAAAAUUCUCAAUUCAAUGUCUUACCAUUUGCCAAUCCUGUUGAUAUCUAACCAUCCCCAGUGGUCUUUUUAAGUCACAGUUUGCUCAUAUGAUUCCCAUAUGUGAUUUCUGCAACAUAAUGAUGGUUGCAUAAUGCAUGCAUACAAUGCAUUAAGGUAAUCCAUUUUGAAAGGAAAAUGAAUAAAUGAUGCACUUCUGUGUUGAAAGUUUGUUCUCUCAAUUAUCUCAUGGCAUUACGGAUGCUAAUUAUGUGGUCAUGUUUUAUUAACAUACUGAUGGGAAACCCCAUGCUGUCAUGUAUCAUAUGGACAUUAUGAAGAGUGAAACACCCACUCUCCAAGUUAGGCUAUAAUGACAAAUUACUAUUCUAUUAUUCUUAUCAAGUUAUUAUAUUUGAUUCCAAAUCGUUAAAAUCAAAUGUCUACAUUACUUGUUCAUUUUUUAUGGUUCAUCUGUGAGCUAUUCAUCGGAAGAGCUUCCCCUUCCUAUAACCCUGCUCUCCUCCACCCAACCCAAUUCUGGUCCUAGCAAGAUAUGAAUCUGAAGCUUUGAAUGGAAAUUCCAACAUUUAACUACUUGAUGUCCCCUUGGACAAAUCCUAAUGGAAUAUUACUAAAUGCAUAUAGUCAUCUCUGAAAAAAAAAGUGGUCAUCUUUUUGCAUUGUUUGAAAAAGAAAAACAAGUGAAAGUAAAUUUAUAAUAAAAUUCUGUCAUAUUCAGACAUUUCAGCAAUUACUUUAUUUUCUAUCAAGAAAUAUCAUCUGUAAGCCCCCAAAAUAGCUGCAUAAUUUGAAAAAAUCAAGUGAUAUGAGACGUGAGAUCUUGAGAGCCUUAAUGAUCUCCUAUUGUUUGUUAAAUAACGCAACAUCUGUAAUUAGAGCAAACUUUUCAUACUUAAAUUCUUGAUUGUGAUCACUAUAGCUUUAAAUAAUUAUAAACCUUUUUAAUUGACUUUUAUGCAGGUUGCUUCUUUCCUGUUAUAUUUGUCUGAUGUAGAAGAAGGUGGGGAGACCACGUUUCCAUUGGAGAAUGGCAUGGACAUUGAUGAAAGUUAUGACUUUGAAAAGUGUAUCGGUUUGCAAGUAAAACCACGCCAAGGGGAUGGACUUCUAUUCUAUUCGCUAUUCCCAAAUAAUACAAUUGAUCCGACAUCGCUGCAUGGAAGCUGUCCAGUAAUCAAAGGGGAGAAAUGGGUGGCUACAAAGUGGAUUAGAGAUGAAGGACAAUACGAAUAGAAUACUAGUACAUGCCUGCAUUGCCAAUGUUUUAUGUUGCUUUUGAUUGGAUGUCGACAAAGAAAAAUAAGAAACUUUCAAGCAGUUAUUCAUGUCUUUUUGUUAAGUUAAUUUUUAUAGUAAUGUAUAGGAGUGUAUAAAAAAACUGUCAAACCGAUUAAUCCAAUCAAUUAGUAUAAAUCCAAAUCGAAA